rnacentral:snoRNA from 1 species
UCUGCUGCUUCUCUUAAGUAUUCGUGUCUGUGAACUAAUUUGUAUGGUUCCCGGGCAGUGAUUAGACGGGAAGCAGAAAGCAAUUGUUCCUCUCGCUAUCCAAUGCGGAAAUUCUGUGAUGCGAUUGGACGUCGAGGAACUACACUG